UAAUAUCGAUCCAUUAUAUAUGUCUAAGUAAUCAGUUAACAUCACACAAUUUAUACCUUCCACUCAAUCAAAGUAACAUAUAAGCUUCAUUGAAAACCUUAAAACUUCAUUCGUCCAUAUAUAAGGAGGUUGUGCCACAAAAGGAGUACAUAUAUGUUUGCCACACAACCAAAAUAAAAUAGUGCCACAAAAGGAGAUGUACAUAUGUUUCUAGAUGUGUGCCACACAACCAAAAUGAGCUUAAUAACCAACAAAAUGAGCAUAUCAAGUCUCUAGGUUCAACAAACAAGACAAAUGACAUUAUCACUCCACCAACUUAAUUGUAGGUCUUCCAAAUCUUCAGCAACUUGAAGGUCCUUUGAGAAAUCUGCAUUAGAUCAGAAGAUGUUAUUGCAUUCAGAACUUUGGGAAAUCUGCAAUAGAUCAGAAGAUGUUAUUGAAUUCAGAACUUUGGGAAAUCUGCAAUAGAUCAGAAAAUGUUAUUGCAUUCAGAACUUAAGGAAGAUGUUACAAUAAUCACAUACAACCAGGGGCGAAUCUACUAGGCAUGCUUUAACAGGCUUAAGCCUGCCCUCCAACAAGAGUAAUUUCUUUUUUAGUACCAAAGAUUAGACCCCAGCGCAGCAAAACUGCUGUUUCCCAGCCCAUCUCAAUGGCAUAAUUACAGUUGAGCCUACCCUACAUUUACUCCGUAGAUUCGCCACUGCAUACAACAGCCGCAUAUGUUCUAUGUUCUGCAAUAUAGAGCAAUAGUAACAUAUCUAGAGUAAUUUCUACUAUAGUAGAGAAAAUGUCCAUUUCUUAUCAUCUUAACAAGUAGCAAGCUAAUCUUACUUCUCAUCAAAAUGUAGUGUGCAAAGUCUGUACAAAUAUUAAUAGGAAGGUGUUGCAACAAUCACAUACAACAGCCGCAUGGCCACAUACAACAGCGCAUAUGUUUUGAAACCUAGAGAAAACAGUAACAUCUCUAGAGUAAUCUCUUCUUUAGUAGAGACCAUGUCCAUUUUCUAUCAUCUUGACAGUAGCAAGCUUAUCUUACUUCUCGUCCAAAUAUAGUGUGAAAAGUCUGUACAAAUAUUAACAGUAACCACUAGGUGUACCUAUCUUAUACAGAGAAAGUGGUAUAAGCAGGUUAGCCAGCGAAAAAAAAGGAAAACUAAAUUGAAUCCUUAUCAGCUUGAGGAUUGUCACUACAAGAUGACAGGAAUUUUGAGAAGGAAUUUUGAUAGGCUUGCAAAUAUCUUAAGGAAAUAAUAAUAUAGAACUUCUCAAGAUGACGAGGGUGUUACCAGCAGAAAAACUUGAAUUCUAGCACGUUAUCAUCAAAUGACACUUCUAAUAAGGCAAAGACACUAAAGAUGUCCACAAUUAGCUUUAAUUUAAGAAACUGAAUCAUAUUAACAAUUCUAAGCUUUCAAAAGUGCAGAAGCAGAGUGGUAGUUAUAUAUUAAGUUUCAGGCCAAUACUAACAAUGAAUAAGCAUGUGGUUCCAAACUCUGAUUCAUUGCCAUAAGUAAUUCAUAAACAUCUUAUGGGAAAAUACUCUGUUCCUCAAGCAAACUUCUUUCUCAAGAUAUACAUUGGAAUCUGCAACAUGCAGAGACAGAUAAUGCCUGCCAGACAUUUGAUCUCAAAAGAACAUCUUCCAAGAAGGAACUUAUUACAUUACCUUAUGGAGUUAUUCGUAAAUGAUAUGGCUGUAAGGCUGGUGUUAUUAUCACCAAAGUAUUAUAAUCCACCUCCAUCUGAAAAAAUAAAACAAUGACAAGUAGCUUGAAUUAUAUUCCUUGGUAGAAUAUAUCAGUAAGUACAUAUUACAUGGUUCUGUAGCUAUGACAAUUUUUAGGUGUUUGUUGUAGCAUUCUCUUUUAUCAGGUUUAGUAUUAGUUGGUCUAGAGUGUAAAAGAAGAAAUGUAUAGCUUUAAUUCAAAACCAUUGAGUAAUAAUAUAUACUAACAAUAUUCAGUGUACUACUCGAACCAGGAUAUAGGUUAACAACAAUGUCAAUAAAUAUAUAUUAACAGUGAGAGGCUUGUGAGAAGUCCCUAGAUUUAGUUAGAUGUUUAAAUUUUAGGGACAAGAUUGUUUGUAACAAUUUCUAGGUAGAACCACCAUAAGCCCUAGAGCUCCAGCCCUUUUUCCCAAAGCUUCUGUCACUCCAUGAUUCUAUCCUUCAGCGAAGAAAUGUGACUGCUAAGCAGCAAUGAUGGAAGGAAAUCUGAAUUAGUGCUGAUUUCUAACACUACCUGCAUGUAACAAGUACUGCUACACUACCCAGGCGCCAAAUUCAGAGCAACAAAGGUCAAUGGGGGAAAACCAAGAGCAUGCAGUUCACUAAAAUAGUAAGGAGUUUUAAACCACAUUGGGACAAACAUAACUGGAAUCUUUGACAUAUGUUUAGAAACAACUUGCAGCAGGAUUAAUGAAAUUUGAAGGACAUAGUAAAUGCAGUUUAACACUUUUGUAGUGUAAGUAAAAAUAAAGAACCUCAGUACAAUCUGUGAAGAAACAGAAACUAAACUGACUAUUAGUGUGCAUCCUUUACUACUCUUGUUUUGUAAAUACUCUGAUAUUAAUAUCUGAGAUUUUAGUGAUAACCAAACACCUAACUAAAUAAAAUUAUAGUAUCAUGAAAAACUGUAGUAUUCUCAAAAUACUUAGAAAGUAUGUAUAGAACCUCAGUACAAUCUGUAAUGUAAGUAAUUUUAAAAACAUAAUUGCAACUUGAUGAAUCUCUGAAGAUUACAUAAGCCAUAGUUCUCAUGCAUCUUCUUUCAUAGCUAUUAGAUGAGAAAAGAAAAUUGUGUGCAUUCAAGGGGUCAUAAACGACUACAUGAAACAGCAAUGAAACCUUUCUUUCAGGUCAGACCAAAGGCAAGUCAGUAUAGCAUACAAUCUACAAACUACAAUUAUCUGUAUGGCGGGAUGUUAAAAAUGAACAGAACUGCAUACAUAUACAGAUCUUUCCUUUUCAUAUGCUGCUUAGCUCGCACGGAAAACUACAGACUUUUUUCUCGGCAGUGAGGUUCUCACAGACAGAAAUAAGGUGCAGUCCAUGUAUGUGAGAACAUCCGAUAUGUGCAGCAAAGUAUAUACUUUUACAUGUACCUAAGAUGGUAUCGCUCGAAGCUGAGGAAGAUACUCUAAUCUCAUAUGUAUAACAUUACUUGACACCUAGACGUUGCCCUUGUUUUUCUCAAAAGAAAAUUCACAUAUGCAAUUCAUAUAUGUAAGGCAAAACUGGAAUAAGAACCAAACAUCCACAUGAAGGAAGCCCUUGCUUAUUUCUAGCUAGCUCUGUACCCCAAAAGAACAAACCUGUAUUUAUGUAUAGCAAAGUUGAAUAAGAAAACAACUGCAGGUGCAAGGAAGCACUUACAAAUAUCUUAGUUUACUUCUAGCUAGCUUUCUGCCCAAAAGGAAAAACAAAUUCAUAUCUAUAUCUGGAGCAUACCUCAAUUAAUUGAAUCCAUCUUAGGCAAAAGCAGCAGCAUGGACACAGCCAAACUGCGAGUGUCUCCUGUCUCCUGCAACAGACAAAGCAAGCAUUAGAGGCAAAGCAAAUGCAAAAGGAUAACCAACAGAAGAGAAAGCAAAAGGAACCCAAACACGGCCAAAACAACACAAGAACUAUAUUACUGGCUAGAAACUAUAAACAAACAGAAGAAUUCCCUGCCCAACCUAAUUUCUACUUUGACGUUGCUAUUACUAAAAUGACCAUAUGUUCCAGGUCAGACAAGAUACCAGGCACAGCAACUAUUAGUAAAACAUGCAGCUGAAAAUAGCACUUUGUAAGGCUGACGGUUCCAGAUAUAUUCUUCCAUUCGAGUGCUCUGCUAUUUUCUUCAAACCAGAGGAAGAACAUUUGGCAUAUGAGCUCACGUGGUGUCAUUAAUCAUUGAAAAUUUUAAAUGGUAUUACCUGUAAUUUGAACACCAACAUCUAUUGACCUGUGAUUCUGCAAGGCACACGCAUAAGUAAAUGUAAGCAUAAGUUUCUCACAAGUGUGUCAACUAUUGAUUAUUGCUACGUUAAUAGAAAAACUGAAAAGAAUCAAGAGAACGGGAAGCACCAGGGGCAAUACCUUAGGCUCGAAGUACAAGAGGGGGAGGCCGUAGAAGCACGAACUGGGGGAGCACGGACAAAGGAUGAUGGGCGAGCACGACGUCGAGGUGGACCAGCGGCGGAGGAGCAAGCACCGGAGUAGGACGACCAGGAGGGCCGGCGGCGCCAAACCCUAGCCCGGCGCAUGCCUCAUCUCGGCAGUUCGGGAGAGAUGCCAAGUAGAUGGUGCUGCGAGAGGAGAAUGCGUGGAUGGAUAGACCACAUUUGGGCGGCGCUGGGAAUGAAGCGAACGGCGGACGAGAUCUGAGGAUACUUGACAGGGGCGAAGGGCUCGGCGACGGGGCCGGCCGGCGGGGAAUUAGAUCCGUGUUAGUUGGUGCUCGGCGGCGCUACGGUGGGGUGCUGGGGGCGACGCCGGCAAUGGUCGGAGUGGCGGUGGUUGCAGGGCGGCGGCGAGGGCACAUCGCGGUUGGGGGCGGCGGCGAGGGCACAAUAGACUCGAUUUGGGGGCAAUUUGGAAGAAGAUUCUGGGAGAUUGGGGCCGAGUCUAUACUUCCUUCGAUGCCAAAAUUUUUGCCUCUCGCGGGCCUACCCUCGCUAGCGCGCGCCUUGGCCCAAUAUUAUUUCGGUCUCCCGCU
rnacentral:lncRNA from 1 species